GCCAAGCGCAGUGGCCCGUGCAUGUAGUCCCAGCUACUUGGGAGGCUGAGGCUGGAGGAUCGCUUGAGCCCAGGAGUUCUGGGCUGUAGUGAGCUAUGCCGAUUAGGUGUCCGCACUAAGUUCAGCAUCAAUAUGGUGACCUCCCGGGAGCAGGGAACCACCAGGAGAGCGAGUGUGCCAGUGACUGUGCGUGGGUGUGGGGGUUGAGGAGUGGAAGGAGGGGUGAACCGGCCCAGGUAGGAAACAGAGCAGGUCAAAACUCCUGUGCUGAUCAGUAGUGGGAUCGCGCCUGUGAAUAGCCACUGCACUCCAGCCUGGGCAACAUAGCGAGACCCUGUCUCU
rnacentral:SRP_RNA from 1 species